rnacentral:tRNA from 1 species
GCCUUGGUAGCUCAGCUGGAUAGAGCAGUCCCCUCCUAAGGGAAAGGUCGCAGGUUCGAAUCCUGCCCAGGGCGCCA